rnacentral:rRNA from 1 species
UCGGUGAAAUGUUUAACAGCUGCGGUAUUUUAACUGUACUAAGGUAGCAUAAUAAUUUGCCUUAUAAUUUGAGGCUAGAAUGAAUGGUUUGACGAAGGUUAAUCUGUCUCCACUUUAUUUUUUAGAAAUUAAUUUUCAUAGUGAAAAAGCUUGAAUUUUUUAAGGGGACGAGAAGACCCUAUUGAGCUUAUAAUUUUAUUAAUAUUUCAUAUAUAUUUAUGUUGUGUUAUAUAAAUUUUAAUUGGGGUGAUUAAGGAAUAAUUUGUUGAAUUUAUAGUGUAACUUCCUUAGAAAUUAUAUUGUUAAAUUAAGUAACCGAUUUAUGUAUAGUUUAUAUUGGGUAUUGCUUAUAAUAUAGUUACCAUAGGGAUAACAGCGUAAUUUACUUAGAGAGUUCUUAUUGAAAAGUAAGAUUGCGACCUCGAUGUUGGAUUAAAGUAACCUUAAGGUGUAGAAGCUUUAUAAGGUAAAUCUGUUCGAUUUU